rnacentral:rRNA from 1 species
AGUGAACGCUGGCGGUAGGCCUAACACAUGCAAGUCGAACGGCAGCACAGUAAGAGCUUGCUCUUACGGGUGGCGAGUGGCGGACGGGUGAGGAAUACAUCGGAAUCUACUUUUUCGGGGGGGAUAACGUAGGGAAAGUUACGCUAAUACCGCAUACGACCUACGGGUGAAAGCAGGGGAUCUUCGGACCUUGCGCGAUUGAAUGAGCCGAUGUCGGAUUAGCUAGUUGGCGGGGUAAAGGCCCACCAAGGCGACGAUCCGUAGCUGGUCUGAGAGGAUGAUCAGCCACACUAGAACUGAGACACGGUCCAGACUCCUACGGGAGGCAGCAGUGGGGAAUAUUGGACAGUGGGCGCAAGCCUGAUCCAGCCAUACCGCGUGGGUGAAGAAGGCCUUCGGGUUGUAAAGCCCUUUUGUUGGGAAAGAAAAGCAGCAGGUUAAUACCCCGCUGUUCUGACGGUACCCAAAGAAUAAGCACCGGCUAACUUCGUG